UAAUCUUGAUCAGAAUAAACACGAAGACACCAAAUGUACAAUUAUUACUAUACAGGGGAGGAGAAUCUACUUGUCAUCUUUCAUCUAAGAUUAAUAAUAAAUCAGUACAGCUGAAAUAUAGCAUCCAUCCGAACUGUCGUCAAGCUAUCAAAACUGACGGAUACUUCCAUGCAUCAAAAUGAGAUGUCUUAAGCCAUAGAAAUAUUUAGUUUCACCUCUGCUUUGGAGACCUCCCUUUUGACCACGGCAGUGUUUGCCAAAGGGCUGUUAACCUCAACUCCAGGGAGUGCGGGCAUUCUGGUGGAAAUGUAAGAGCUGCCAACCGUGCCCAGCUCCAGGGGUCCGAACUCCCUUCUGCUCAGCUCAGCUGGCCUCUACCGGGAGCUUCCAGCUUCUUCCUCACGGGCAGGUCCUUUGAAACUGUUACCCGAGGUCAUUUCCUGAGGACAGUCAACGGCAUCUUCAUGUAUCCUGGAAUGGGAAAUUGUGCCUGAAAAUCUGAAUUGAAUAAACAUGGAAAACAGAUCCUCUGUUAUUUUGGACUUUGCGAUUUACCAUCGAGCCAUUAAAAAUGAAUUUACGCAUCAGUCAACAUGCCCAGGGAGACUACUUUCCUGGCAGAGGAAACAACAGCUUCAAAAUGGGGUUGUACGAGCCUUGAGUUCUGGGGGUGAGGGCUGCGCUGCCCGGCACUACCGACCACCGACCACCGCCUGGAGCCGUGAGAAGGUCGGAGGGGAUGACACUCCCACCUUGGGCCUCAGGCCUGGGCCACCGUUGUCCUCCCGCAGGCCCUGCAGCCUCUGGCCCGAGCAGAAGUGUGCUGCUGGCCACUGCGAGCCUUGGCUUUUGACUCUGCCCCUUCCAGGCGGUUCAGAAGAUCUCACAGACGCAGGCUUCACUCUCCAGAUCACUAUGUUACAGCCCAGGGGUUCUAAAAGGAUUCAGCAACAUUCUCUGUAGUCCAGGGAGUCCGAGGCGACGCAGAUGCCUGUGGUAAGGGAUCGAUUAUGUGAUAGCAGAGGCCUGGGAUUUGGGCAGGAGACUGAUGUGCAGUGGCUCCUCCCUCUGUGAGUGGGGAUGGAGUUGGCCUUCUGCGUGUUGGCCCAGACCGCCCCCCCCCUUGGGGCCAGGGACACUGCCCGGGGAGGGCUCCGGCUCCCCGAAGGAGGGAAGUUGGUGAGGUUCCUGCCCUGUCUGGGGGCGGGGGGUGGGUCUCAGAGCUGAAGCAAAAAUGAUCAACUUUUAUUGGCACAAGGUCUGCCCUCCUUGGCCGAAACCAGAUGGGGCCAAAUGCUCCUUUAUUAGCCAGACAGCAGGUACGAGAAUGGGCCACUAUUUCAGACAGUAGACUUUUAUGUGAUUCCAUAGAAAUUUUAUAGUUCUUUCCGAUAACGCGAGAGAAAAUAACCUCAUCAAUUUCUGUCUUAAGAUUUGCUUGAGAAAUGUGCCCAGUGGGAUGUUUGCGAUGAGUAACAGAUUUCUGUGAAUGUGAUUUUUGUUAGUGUUUAUUUAAACAGAGAAUUGUAGUCAAAAUGCAGCCUUCAUCUUUCUCCCUGAUUUUUUUUUUAAAGGCUAGUUAUAUUUUUGUGGUUUGAAAAAGUCUUUUUUAAAUUCUGAAGACUUAAAAAAAACUUUGUUUGCUGUGGUUAUUUUUCUAUAUGUGUUAACAUCUAAAAAAAAAAAAAAAAAGAAGUGCUGAACACCAAAAUUGUAUUUUGAAUAAAGAAUGUAAA
ensembl:lncRNA